UACGAAGGGGGGCUAGCGUUGCUCGGAAUCACUGGGCGUAAAGCGCACGUAGGCGGAUCUUUAAGUCAGGGGUGAAAUCCUGGAGCUCAACUCCAGAACUGCCUCUGAUACUGGGGAUCUUGAGUCCGGAAGAGGUAAGUGGAACUGCGAGUGUAGAGGUGAAAUUCGUAGAUAUUCGCAAGAACACCAGUGGCGAAGGCGGCUUA
rnacentral:rRNA from 1 species